rnacentral:rRNA from 1 species
UGGUGGAGUGAUUUGUCUGGUUAAUUCCGUUAACGAACGAGACCUCGACCUGCUAAAUAGUUCGGCGAACUCUUCGGGGUUCGGCCGCAACUUCUUAGAGGGACUAUCGGUGUGUAGCCGGUGGAAGUUCGAGGCAAUAACA